GGUUAAGCGACUAAGCGUACACGGUGGAUGCCCUGGCAGUCAGAGGCGAUGAAGGACGUGCUAAUCUGCGAAAAGCGCCGGCGAGGUGAUAUGAACCCUUGACCCGGCGAUGUCCGAAUGGGGAAACCCAGUGCAAUCCGUUGCACUAUCGUUAACUGAAUACAUAGGUUAACGAGGCGAACCGGGGGAACUGAAACAUCUAAGUACCCCGAGGAAAAGAAAUCAACCGAGAUUCCCCCAGUAGCGGCGAGCGAACGGGGAGCAGCCCGGAGUCUGAAUCAGCUUGUGUGUUAGUGGAACGGUCUGGAAAGUCCGACGGUACAGGGUGAUAGUCCCGUACACGAAAAUGCACAUGCUGUGAACUCGAAGAGUAGGGCGGGACACGUGGUAUCCUGUCUGAAUAUGGGGGGACCAUCCUCCAAGGCUAAAUACUCCUGACUGACCGAUAGUGAACCAGUACCGUGAGGGAAAGGCGAAAAGAACCCCGGCGAGGGGAGUGAAAAAGAACCUGAAACCGUGUACGUACAAGCAGUGGGAGCCUCUUUAUGGGGUGACUGCGUACCUUUUGUAUAAUGGGUCAGCGACUUAUAUUCUGUAGCAAGGUUAACCGUAUAGGGGAGCCGAAGGGAAACCGAGUCUUAACUGGGCGUUAAGUUGCAGGGUAUAGACCCGAAACCCGGUGAUCUAGCCAUGGGCAGGUUGAAGGUUGGGUAACACUAACUGGAGGACCGAACCGACUAAUGUUGAAAAAUUAGCGGAUGACCUGUGGCUGGGGGUGAAAGGCCAAUCAAACCGGGAGAUAGCUGGUUCUCCCCGAAAGCUAUUUAGGUAGCGCCUCGUGAACUCAUCUUCGGGGGUAGAGCACUGUUUCGGCUAGGGGGCCAUCCCGGCUUACCAACCCGAUGCAAACUACGAAUACCGAAGAAUGUUAUCACGGGAGACACACGGCGGGUGCUAACGUCCGUCGUGAAGAGGGAAACAACCCAGACCGCCAGCUAAGGUCCCAAAGUCAUGGUUAAGUGGGAAACGAUGUGGGAAGGCACAGACAGCCAGGAUGUUGGCUUAGAAGCAGCCAUCAUUUAAAGAAAGCGUAAUAGCUCACUGGUCGAGUCGGCCUGCGCGGAAGAUGUAACGGGGCUAAACCAUGCACCGAAGCUGCGGCAGCGACGCUUAUGCGUUGUUGGGUAGGGGAGCGUUCUGUAAGCCGUUGAAGGUGUGCUGUGAGGCAUGCUGGAGGUAUCAGAAGUGCGAAUGCUGACAUAAGUAACGAUAAAGCGGGUGAAAAGCCCGCUCGCCGGAAGACCAAGGGUUCCUGUCCAACGUUAAUCGGGGCAGGGUGAGUCGACCCCUAAGGCGAGGCCGAAAGGCGUAGUCGAUGGGAAACAGGUUAAUAUUCCUGUACUUGGUGUUACUGCGAAGGGGGGACGGAGAAGGCUAUGUCAGCCGGGCGACGGUUGUCCCGGUUUAAGCAUGUAGGCGGAGGUUCCAGGUAAAUCCGGUACCUUAUUAACGCUGAGGUGUGAUGACGAGGCACUACGGUGCUGAAGUGAUAAAUGCCCUGCUUCCAGGAAAAGCCUCUAAGCAUCAGGUAACACGAAAUCGUACCCCAAACCGACACAGGUGGUCAGGUAGAGAAUACCAAGGCGCUUGAGAGAACUCGGGUGAAGGAACUAGGCAAAAUGGUGCCGUAACUUCGGGAGAAGGCACGCUGAUGUGUAGGUGAAGCCCCUGCGGGUGGAGCUGAAAUCAGUCGAAGAUACCAGCUGGCUGCAACUGUUUAUUAAAAACACAGCACUGUGCAAACACGAAAGUGGACGUAUACGGUGUGACGCCUGCCCGGUGCCGGAAGGUUAAUUGAUGGGGUUAGCGGCAACGCGAAGCUCUUGAUCGAAGCCCCGGUAAACGGCGGCCGUAACUAUAACGGUCCUAAGGUAGCGAAAUUCCUUGUCGGGUAAGUUCCGACCUGCACGAAUGGCGUAAUGAUGGCCAGGCUGUCUCCACCCGAGACUCAGUGAAAUUGAACUCGCUGUGAAGAUGCAGUGUACCCGCGGCAAGACGGAAAGACCCCGUGAACCUUUACUAUAGCUUGACACUGAACACUGGUCCUUGAUGUGUAGGAUAGGUGGGAGGCUUUGAAGCGUGGACGCCAGUCUGCGUGGAGCCAACCUUGAAAUACCACCCUUUAAUGGCUGGUGUUCUAACGUAGACCCGUAAUCCGGGUUGCGGACAGUGUCUGGUGGGUAGUUUGACUGGGGCGGUCUCCUCCCAAAGAGUAACGGAGGAGCACGAAGGUUGGCUAAUCCUGGUCGGACAUCAGGAGGUUAGUGCAAUGGCAUAAGCCAGCUUGACUGCGAGCGUGACGGCGCGAGCAGGUGCGAAAGCAGGUCAUAGUGAUCCGGUGGUUCUGAAUGGAAGGGCCAUCGCUCAACGGAUAAAAGGUACUCCGGGGAUAACAGGCUGAUACCGCCCAAGAGUUCAUAUCGACGGCGGUGUUUGGCACCUCGAUGUCGGCUCAUCACAUCCUGGGGCUGAAGUAGGUCCCAAGGGUAUGGCUGUUCGCCAUUUAAAGUGGUACGCGAGCUGGGUUUAGAACGUCGUGAGACAGUUCGGUCCCUAUCUGCCGUGGGCGCUGGAGAAUUGAGGGGGGCUGCUCCUAGUACGAGAGGACCGGAGUGGACGCAUCACUGGUGUUCGGGUUGUCAUGCCAAUGGCACUGCCCGGUAGCUAAAUGCGGAAGAGAUAAGUGCUGAAAGCAUCUAAGCACGAAACUUGCCCCGAGAUGAGUUCUCCCUGAGACUUUAAGUCUCCUGAAGGAACGUUGAAGACGACGACGUUGAUAGGUCGGGUGUGUAAGCGCAGCGAUGCGUUGAGCUAACCGAUACUAAUGAACCGUGAGGCUUAACCUU
rnacentral:rRNA from 1 species